ensembl:lncRNA
GACUGUCCCCAGGCCUCUCGGGCCCCGACCUCUAGGGGCCGGGGACCAGAGCGCCCCAGGGAGACCUCCUGCCCUCCUUCGGCUUUGGAGCUGCUGAACUUCGACGGUGACUGACGACGCCCAGACUCGGGGACCCCAAUAACCCAAGCUGAGCCCAGGGUAACGCUCCAGAUAGCGGUGGGACGGAUCAUCAUUCUCCUGCUGCUCCUGACUUUUGGGCCCUGGAUCCUGGAUGGGCUUUUGGCCUUCAUCAAACAACGGCUCGACAUGGUCCAGCUGAUGGUACACCGACGGCAGUACCAAGGGCUUCCAACAAGCACUCCGUGGCAAGAUUAAUGGCAGACGCCCCCUGUCAUCCCGGCCAUACCCUACCCCUCGUCGCCCCCGUUCAGCAGGAAGUAGCCAGAGAGAAUCGGCGCCCCUUGUCCUAUAUCAAAAAGGCCGGGAUGAAAGGUCAGGGUGAGGUCAGGAUGAAGGGGCAGGGCGAGGUCAGGAUGAGAGGUCAGGGCAAGGUCAGGCGUGUUGAGGCAUGCCUGGGCAUGCCCGGGCAUGUCGCGACAUGUCCCGGCAGAGAGCGCUGCAGACAAGCCCCAGAGACGGGCCGGCAACCAAGCCGACCAAUCAGGAGCCGACACGGAGCCCUUGGACACCAAUCACCGCUGAGCCCGCGUUUUCUUCCUUAUAUGGGAGCCCCGGCCCGGGCUAUAAAACCCUUCCCCACCCUCGCAGACUCCGCAGACUCCCUUUACCCCGCAGACUCCCUUUACCCCGCAGACUCCCUUUACCCUGCAGACUCCCUUUGCUUCGCAGACCCCCCUCGCUCCCUUGCUCACCCGCCCCCGGGAGUUCUGCCCGAGAGCGACUGCCCAAUAAAAGGCCCUGAUCAACGGUC